CACAGCCGCACUCCCGCAGGCCGCAGCCUGCAAUCCCGCACCCACGGCGUGACCUCCUCCCAAAUCGCCGGGCGUCCCAAAUGGCCUCCUCCCAAAAUCAUGGCACAGAUCUCCCAGAAUUUAUCCUUGCCCUCCCCAUGAGCGCAAGUCUUGCGUGUGUGAUCUGCACCUUCCAUGCCGGAUUGAUUUCUUGUCUCUGAGCACCUAUAUGAGGCGUGAUUCACUGCAUCCCGAUGCCUCUCUGCAGUGCGCCGCCCGCCCGCCCAAAUCCCUGGCCUUUGGCCAUGGCACCAUUAGGUUUAUUUAUGCAUGGGGAGAAGAUAGUAGGCUGCCUUCAAACCGAACAGAGCCGAAGCGGCUGGAAAAAUUCUGCAUCGAACGAUGUCGCUUUCCUGCAAAAUUUCUUCCGAGACAGAAGAGUGUCAUACUUGAGAACAUAGGUCAUGAUAAGCAAGUAGUGAUGAAAGUUAAUCAUGGAUGAAGCUUGAAGAAUAAGCAAUAAAUCUUGAAGUUUAGAAGAAGGGAGAUUGGUAAUGGCAGCUGCACCGCACUACUGAAUCUGUGUGGUUCUGCUACUUGCCUGCUUCUAUUUCGUCUUCUCAAACUUAAGUGGACUUGUCAAUGUGUCGUCUGUGAUAAACUAUGGCUGGUUUGUCGGAUGUAAUUUGUUGAGUCUGAUUUUCUAUCUUUACGCCCAUUUUGUGUAAAUUAUCUGCAAGUUUCUCUGUCACUUGUUUUAUAGUCAUUCUUGUUGUUAAGUAA